rnacentral:lncRNA from 1 species
UAGAAGUCAGGUCGGAUUAAGCCAUAGUACGGGAAAAACUAUGCUACCUGUGAGCCCCGUCCAAGGACGUUAAAAGAAGUCAGGCCACUACAAGUGCCAUAGCUUGAGCAAACUAUGCAGCCUGUAGCUCCACCUGGGAAGGUGUAAAAAAUCUGGGAGGCCACAAACCAUGGAAGCUGUACGCAUGGCGUAGAGGACUAGAGGU